UGAUGAUGGUGAGGGCAAUUUCUUAGCAUACUUUUAAAUCUCUCCCAAGCUUGGUAGAGAUUCUCUCUUUUCUAUGUGAAACUUAAAAUCAAACUUCUCAAUCU
rfam:Capsicum annuum cultivar Zunla-1 chromosome 9, whole genome shotgun sequence